UCUGAUGAAUGGUAAUGAUAUGACAGGAUAAGAGCUGACUAUAGUUUAUCUCAACAACGACUUGAUAAAGUAAGUUAGAGUAUAGGUAGAUUGAAACAGUGUGUAUAAAGAAAAGGUGACGACUGUAUGGUCAUGUCAGAAGUUGUCUACAAAUGUUUUUAGACAUUUGACCAGAUUACAUAACUAUUGACCUGGUCAGCCCUCAACACCCUAUAUCUGAACCUAACAAUACCCCAUAUUAGAAAUCACCCUAAAUCCAUAUAUGUCGUCAUACAAUCUUGAAUCCACAUCAGAGCACUAGAAGAAUUCUUACGACAGGUCUUCCUUAUUCUCUGUAUGCGACAUACCCUUGUGUUAUUGCAUCCAUUUUCUUAAUUUCUUUUUCGAAAAAAAAUAAAUCAUUUCUAGUAGGACUCAUUCUUUGAGUUAUUUGAGCUGAAACAUAAAUCUC
rnacentral:lncRNA from 1 species